rnacentral:lncRNA from 1 species
UGCUCCUUCUGUUUGGAAAGCAGGUGCCUGAGAAGCUGGAAUUCAUAUUUCUCUGACAAAAAGCCAUGACCCUGGGUGCUUAGGUGGAAGACGUCCUCCUGCCCAGCUGGUUGGUGAGGAGUCUCUGUGGCCAGUGUGGCAGGGUCGGCCACUGCUGUGGUGUCUGCCGCAGUCAGGUGCACAGCCUGGGCCUAACUGCUGGCUUCGUGAAGCUCCCUGCUGGCCUCGGAGAACACAGGCACUGGGGCCUCCCUCGGGGAGGGUGGUGGUGCAGGCCUGGGCAGGUGCAGGCUGACCCACCUGCGGGCAGGUGCAGGAGUGCGGAGGGCGCCUGCCUGGAACAGUCUCUCAGCUCUCCAGCUGCCCGGCAC